UACGAAGGGGGCUAGCGUUGCUCGGAAUCACUGGGCGUAAAGCGCACGUAGGCGGCUUACUAAGUCAGGGGUGAAAUCCUGGAGCUCAACUCCAGAACUGCCUUUGAUACUGGUGAGCUUGAGUCCGGAAGAGGUGAGUGGAACUGCGAGUGUAGAGGUGAAAUUCGUAGAUAUUCGCAAGAACACCAGUGGCGAAGGCGGCUCACUGGUCCGAUACUGACGCUGAGGCGCGAAAGCGUGGGGAGCAAACAGG
rnacentral:rRNA from 1 species